rnacentral:misc_RNA from 1 species
GACUGUCUGCGACGCAGCAUU